CAGCAGUGGGGAAUAUUGCACAAUGGGGGAAACCCUGAUGCAGCGACGCCGCGUGGAGGAAGAAGGUCUUCGGAUUGUAAACUCCUGUUGUUGAGGAAGAUAAUGACGGUACUCAACAAGGAAGUGACGGCUAACUACGUGCCAGCAGCCGCGGUAAAACGUAGGUCACAAGCGUUGUCCGGAAUUACUGGGUGUAAAGGGAGCGCAGGCGGGAGAACAAGUUGGAAGUGAAAUCCAUGGGCUCAACCCAUGAACUGCUUUCAAAACUGUUUUUCUUGAGUAGUGCAGAGGUAGGCGGAAUUCCCGGUGUAGCGGUGGAAUGCGUAGAUAUCGGGAGGAACACCAGUGGCGAAGGCGGCCUACUGGGCACCAACUGACGCUGAGGCUCGAAAGUGUGGGUAGCAAACAGGAUUAGAUACCCUGGUAGUCCACACCGUAAACGAUGAUUACUAGGUGUUGGAGGAUUGACCCCUUCAGUGCCGCAGUUAACACAAUAAGUAAUCCACCUGGGGAGUACGACCGCAAGGUUGAAACUCAAAGGAAUUGACGGGGGCCCGCACAAGCAGUGGAGUAUGUGGUUUAAUUCGACGCAACGCGAAGAACCUUACCAAGUCUUGACAUCCUGCGACGCACAUAGAAACAUGUGUUUCCUUCGGGACGCAGAGACAGGUGGUGCAUGGUUGUCGUCAGCUCGUGUCGUGAGAUGUUGGGUUAAGUCCCGCAACGAGCGCAACCCUUAUGGUCAGUUACUACGCAAGAGGACUCUGGCCAGACUGCCGUUGACAAAACGGAGGAAGGUGGGGAUGACGUCAAAUCAUCAUGCCCUUUAUGACUUGGGCUACACACGUACUACAAUGGCGUUAAACAAAGAGAAGCAAGACCGCGAGGUGGAGCAAAACUCAGAAACAACGUCCCAGUUCGGACUGCAGGCUGCAACUCGCCUGCACGAAGUCGGAAUUGCUAGUAAUCGUGGAUCAGCAUGCCACGGUGAAUACGUUCCCGGGCCUUGUACACACCGCCCGUCACACCAUGAGAGCCGGGGGGACCCGAAGUCGGUAGUCUAACCGCAAGGAGGACGCCGCCGAAGGUAAAACUGGUGAUUGGGGUGAAGUCGUAACAAGGUAGCCGUAGGAGAACCUGCGGCUG
rnacentral:rRNA from 1 species